rnacentral:tRNA from 1 species
AAAGUUUUAAGUUAAUAAAACUAAAAGCCUUCAAAGCUUUAAUUAAGAUGGGAGCCUUAAACUUUA